CGGACUUUGUUAUUCUAGCUUAGGAGAAUUGCUUUGCACAAAAGUCAAGAUUGGUGAUGUGCACCUGGUUUCAUAGUUGGGGUCCUGAGUUUUAAUUACCAUGAUUGUUUGCUUAGCAGAAUAUGCCUCUGUGAGCAGAAUCAUAAUAGCUUCAGAUUCUGAAGACUUGAGCAGAUUUCUUUGCCCAGAGACAUUUCACCAGGUUCCUGUGGUUCACUGCUAGAGAGAAAGCAUAUCCUGUGCUGAGACAUAGAAGGCCUCAGAAGAUUGCACCUGGUCUCUCUGGACUCCAUUCAAUGCCCAUUUACAAUUAUUGAGGAACUUGGAGCUCAGAUCCUGGGGAAGCUGAUAUGUUGUAGUGGUGGUUGAUCAUUUAGCCUGGGUCCUGGAAUAAGAAAACACAUGGAGCAAAGCCAAGCACAGUAAGACCCAGUGGCAGCCAACCAAAUCCAGCAAAGACCAGCCAAGCUGAAGCCAACCUUCACAUUUGUGUAAUCAUUCAAGGGGCCUGUGCAAGUAAGGCUGCCUGGCACAUCAAGUUCAUCAGGCUCAAGGUAAGUCUAAGUAUGAUUACAAAUAGGAAGGAUAUAUGCGUAGAGGAGCAGGGUGUGUGGGGAGAAUGAGGUUAUGUAAGAUAAAAUCAAAACAGGGGAAAAUAAGGGCAAUCAUGAAAUGUCUUAAAAAUCUUCUAAGCUCUUUUGGCUUUAUUCAUUGAAAGAGUCUACAAGGAAUUUGGAGGAGUAAUUUUUGUACUUCAGGACUUAUUUUCCUGUAACAGAAAGCACACAGAAAAUGAUUUGCAGAGCUACAUCAUUUUUCGUGGAGUUAGAGUGAAAUAUGCAUUCACAUAGGAAUUGAUUUGACCUCCCUUCUAAUCUAAUGUGUGCUAUAUAUAGUAAGAUGACUUAUGAUAGGGUCAAAGUCUACCUUCAGUGCUUGUAAAAAUAUGUUUUUCAUUUUCAUGCCCUUAAAAAUCUAAAGGUCCUCAGCAAAAAGAAAUUUGGUGGAAUUUUUAUUAUUCCCUUAUUUUCUUUAAAAGUGAUGUUAUUUUAAUGACAUACUAAGGAAAAUAAUGGGACAGGUAAGGGAAUUUCAUGAUAUGCCACUUUGAUAGAGACAAUUGCUUUCAUUAUUACACUUCCAUAUGUAAGAGCAGAUAAACAGACUAAAGAAAAAUGGCAAAUACAUAGGAAUAAUUUUCUCAAUUAGGAAUAAGAGUAGAAUGCAUAUUUGGGGAAAAUGAAAAAUGAAAGCUAACACUAAACAAUCUUUAUUUUGUCUUUUCUCUCUCCUAUUGGAUUCCCCAUUUGCCCUAUAGGAGGCAAAGUUUAUAAGCCCCUAGGAUGACACUCAAAAUGCUUAUGUAGCUUGGAAAUUAUUUUUUCAGGUGACCCCUUAAAGAGAAACUGUAUCAUAGUAGAGUUGGUUUCUCCCAAGUGAGGAUUAGACAUGCGUAUUCUGUGUUCACAUUCUGUAUAAAUCUAAAACUCUUCUAUGCAAGGAGGGUGGAGUGUUUCGACAAGUAUAGUGAGAUAGUUUGUUGUUUUCAGAGUCAGUGUCUGCAUUGCACCAACUUGUUGGAUAGCAAAUAUGCAUCCUAUUUUCCCACUCUACCUCAGCUCCCCUCAGGCACCACGGCUUGCCUUUGUGUUCACAUAGGUCUCCACUCCUCACGUAUGGGUCUUCCUUGGCACCUGACGCUGUUUGUUUUGGUUCUUAGAGUGUUGUCCUCAUACCCCCUAUAUCUGAGUGCUCAGGAGAAUUUGUUAAAAUGCAGAUAUCUGGACCCUGAGUCCAGAAUAAGGUCUAGGAAUCUGUACUUUUCACAAGCUCCUCAGAGGGUUCUUACGAGUCUCAACAUUGGAAGGCUCUGUUCAUGACUAAAAUGCAAAGCUGAAAGAAGACUCAAAUUCUACCUCACUUGUAUUCAGUACUGGUGUACAUCACUUUGAUGAGUUUGCAUGCCUCAUCUUUCUUAUCAGAGAUAGGCUUGUAAAGUGAUCACUCUGAAUUUUCCAACACUAAUACCAUACAUGCUAAGUUAGGCUCUGGAACACUCUCCUACAGCCCUUCCCCAUUUCCCUGUCCAUACCACUCCCUAAUCCAGUAGUUCUCAAGGUGUAGUCAUGGGACCGGCAACGUCAGCAUCACUUGGAACUUAUUAUCAAUGCAAAUUCUUAGACUCCACUGCAGUCUUAUUGAACUGGGAACUCUGGCCACGUGGCACAGCCCUCCAGAUGAUUUUGGUGCAAGGAAAAGUUGGAGAACCACUGAUCUAGACUAUUUCUUCCUUUCCAUCUCAGUGCCUAUUGAUAGGAAAUAAUGGAAUCUAUUAAAUUAACUCACAUCGAGUUUUAAGGAUAUUUGUAUUUCAUAGAAAAUCCUGGUAAAAGAGUAAGUGCUAAACUCACAAAAAUAAAGUACUAACAGAAGAAUUUACGUUAUUAUAGCUCCCGGAAGGAAAGUAUUUUGAUGAGAAGAUUGAUUGAGGAUGCCAUCAAACAAUUAUACACUUUAUACUUAAUCUACACCUGAGAGUGUCCUGUUUCCAGUAUCUAUUUCUGUGCGGAUCCAUCAGAACAUACCUAUCCUGUAUCACCCUUCCUAGCUCUCUUCUCUACAGAGUAAUGACUAAUGGAUGAACCAAUCCCUACCAAUGUGCGAUUAUUUUACUGACUCUAAGUAGCUUGUGAUUUCACAGGGAGCUUCUGGAGAAGACCCCUUAAUCCCACAUAUUGAAAAAAUCUAGGUAACAUGGCAGAUUGAUGAGAUAGAGAGAUUCCAUGAAGUUUGCUUUAUUUCCUCAUGACUCUAUGAGGUUUUUUCUUUCUUCAAAGCAGAGUUUAGAUUUGUAUCUGUAAUAUUUACCUUAAAAAAAGACUUAAAGGAAAUCUGAUUGCUGUAUUACCUUAUUUGAAAGGCAGAUAAGAAGUACUAAAUUUAUGCUGAAAUUUACAAGAAUGCAUAUUUAUGCUCAAUAUAAGGAAACUUUUCUAGGAACUAAAACUGUUCAUCCACGAAACUCAAGCAGCAUACUGUAGGUAUUAAGAACACAUGUUUUGGAAGAACAGGGACUUGAGUUGGUAUCUUGUGACACCUCUUAUUAGUUGUUUGACCUUGAACAAGUUAGGAAAUGCUCUAAACCUCAGUUAUCUAAAAGAAAUGAUGAUAAUGUCUUCUUCACAGGGUUAUUGUGAAGAAGUGGGAUAAUUGUGAAUACCUAGGACAGUACCCAGCACAAAAGGACACUUAGUAAAUGGUAGCUAUCAUUUCCAUGGUUUCAAGCAGAAGCUGAAUCACCACAUUUCAGAGAUGCUAUAGACGGUAGGAUAAAAGAACUGCUAAUGUGUAUUUCAAAUCUAUGAAUCUUAGACCCUAGGAAACCAUAUAUUCUGUAACUCUUUGAUUUUAGUGAAAACCAUGUAUGGGAAAUAAUUAAAUAGGAAAGCAACCUUCCCCAAAGAAACACAGUCAAGUUGUCCUUACGUACUACUUGGUCUCAGGAAGAGAUUGGCCUUCUUUCUCUAGGCUUUUUCAAUAUAGUUUUCAGGGACACGGCUUUCUACUUUUCCUGGGUUAGGUGAUGGAUAAAAGUUCUUAUCAAUCGAUUAUUUCCUGCCAUUAUUCAAGGUAUUUGACGUCGGAGCCUUCUACUUUGUACAUUCCUUGACUGAAUUUGAAAAACAUCCAGAAAGAAUCAACAAUGUUCUAAAAACUUUUAAAGAAGAGAUUUUCUCUGGUGUCCUUGGAAAAAGCAUUUUCAAAUAAAUGAUGAAUGGCUAAAGGUAUUUUCAAAAAGUGGGAAAAACACUUUCCUGUUACCUCAUAAACAAAGGAUAUGUUUUUCAAAUGAAAACAAAUCUGAGACUUUAAUCAAAUUUUAAACUAUUUCAUUCUGUUUUUUUUUUUUAAUAAAUUCCAUAUCUUGCUAUCAGUACUGUGAACUUUUUGGCAAAACUGGUGUUAGAAUAAAAGUAGAAAUGCAACUUCAAAAAGCAAACCCUUAUAUUUGUCACUUGUGAUAACACUUCUUGACUUCAUUCCCAGCCAAACAGAUGCACUAUUAACAGUGUAUUUAUUUUUACUAUUGGCUGCAUUUGCCUUCACACUGGAUAAGGGCCCUUUUGGGACCUAGAAUGCCAAUAGAGUGGAUUCCAGUGGGAGAUUUAUGGAGUCAAUGAUCCUGGGUCCACAACAGCAGCCUAACAAAUGACUCAGGCAGACUCUCGUAGACAUUCAGUCAAUGUCAGCAACUUUGGAGGCAACAAAUUUGUGGGAAUCAAUGAUCUUAACUCAGACUGGGGCAUCUGGGUUGGAAUCUGCACAGCCUUGUUUAUCAUCAACCCACUCUGGCAAGGAAAAUAGAGCUACUGCAUGUUCUGUUUUAUGUAAUUGUGUAUCAAUACUAUAAAGUGUUUAGUACACUUCUAUUUACAUAAAUUCCAAGGGCAGUACUGAGUCAGGGGAAAAGCACUCAACUUAAAACCAGAAACCCCGGGUAGAAAUCUUCUUCUUGCACUUAGUAGCUGUAUGAUUAUAGACAACUUUCUAAGAUUGGUAGUUAUGACUUAUAAUGGGCUUAUUUAUAGCAGUACUGUUCUAAAAGUUUUAUACACAAUAUUUUUAUGAAAUAGGUACUUUGUUCCGAUUUUACAGAAAAGGGAACUAAAAUAGGUUGAAUUUAAGUAAGUUGUUCAAAGUCACACAGCUUGGGGCGGGGCUGUGUUGAGAUUCAAACCAGGACAAUGUGGCUCCAGGGUCCAUAUUCUCAACAAUUACACAUACUGCCUUAGUUUUCACAUUUAUACAAAGAUUACACAAAGAAAAUAAUAACAUCCUUGAUACCAACAGCCUAAGAUUGUUCUUGGUCCCAAACAUAAUGAUGUGAUGAGUGCUAAUAUCAUUAAAUAUUAAACAUAAAAUAACAUUAUGGAACCAUGUAAAAGAUAGAGGAUAACCUACUGCUUAUAAUUAUUAUUUCACUACCAAGUAUUCCUGGUACUGAAACUAAUUGUUUCAACAUCUCUGUAAGAUUUAUAGAAUCAAUCUCAUCUUAUGGAUGAGGAAAAUAAAAUUCAGAGAAGUGAAGUCACAGUCAAAUUCCCCAUAGUUAGGGAGUGGUACAGCUGACAGUCGACUCCAAAACCCAAUUUAUUUUUGAUUCUAUCAUAUUGACCUUAAUAAUCAUAAAUAAUAUUUCUACCUUUCAGAAUUUAACACUUUUAUUUAUUGAAAGUACAUAUGGUUCUGAAAAAAAUAGUAAACUUUUCAAGUAUAUCGAUAUAGAUUAUUAGGGGAAAUGGAAACAUCAUUUUUAUUUCCCUCUGUAAUGACCGAAAUCUCUUCAGGAAUAAUAGAGUAAUUGCCUAUUUUAGAGCAUUAUAAAAUAUAUACCUUAAUUCAACUGAAAGCACAAAUUGAUUUUUUGGCAAUCACUGAAAAGAAUAUGAUGUGUACAUGAAAUGUCCUCUCCAUAAAGCAGGCAAUUGAUUUCUGCAAUUGUAAAUAUCGAUUGGAUAACAAAACACUGUUUAUCAGCUACAUUAAGUCGUCUUGAAAGAGUUUUACAUUGUCGAUGUCUCUUACACAAAGAUUGCUCUCUUAGUCCCUGCAAAUGUGUGGGUAGGUAAAGACUCUAGUAUAGACAGAGAGGAGAAAAAUCCAGACUUGCUGCAGAAUCCAAAUCCAAUUUAGAGACUAAAAACAACUGAAAUCUGGUUCUUAAUGGGGUCAUAGUUUCAAACCAUGUCGAAAGAGUCAGAGGUAAUGAAUAUUUGAUAUGCAUAUAUACUGCACCAAUUAUAUUUUGAUAAGGUCAAUUUGAGUCAUAUGGGUAGUUUAACACAGCCACUUGACUUAAAAGUCCUCAAAUCAAGUCUUAAAUGAGAAGACCAUUUUAAAAGCACAGAAGUACAGGGCAAAGACCCUGAGAAUCCAAUCUAUUUUAUUUUGCCUGAUUAAUUACAACAAACUGGGACUUGGACUGAAUUAGAGAUAAUAGGAUAAGGCCAGUCAGGGUAGACAAAACCAAUAUUUCAGUGGUAUAACUAAUAAAGACAUGGCAGUUGCUGGCAAUUAAGUUCAGGAACAUCAGGGCAGGGUAUAUUAAAGUGGGUUUAAAAUGACGUUAGAACCAAGGCCUAAAAAUAACCCAAGAUUUGCCUCUCCUCUCCAUAAAGUUCCUGAAACAAAAGUACACUCAGAAAAAGCAAAAUUACCAUUUUACUGUGAGUGGAUUUUACGUUGAAUCCUCUGUAACUCUCUAAUGGGCUGGCCAGAGACAAUGAUGAUGACCCCUAAUCUAGCUGAGUCCAAAUGGGCCAAAACUAAAGCAGGCUAAAAGAUCCGUUCAGUUCACAUGCUCCCCAAAUCCCAAACUCAGUUUCAAACUCCCAUUAGAAAUAAGGCCAAAUCAUAUGUACUCACUCAAAGAGCAUGAAGAAAAAAUAAGUUUGCCCUACUGCCAAUGGUGGAGCUGGCCUGGGUUCCCUGCCUUAGACCUUUUUCAAGUGUUUUCUGAAAGGUCUCCCUUAGCUUUGUGUGAGAAAAGAACUUUUAAAGAAAAACACAAAUGAAAAGCCAAGCUCACAGAUACAGAGAAGAGAUUGGUGGUUGCCAGAGGUAUGGGG
ensembl:lncRNA